CUUAAGAAAAAUGAAAUACUUGAUAUCUUCUAUAAUGGACUAACCGAUGCUUCUAGGGACUUCCUAGAUAGUUGUGCUGGUUGUGUUUUCAGGGAACGAACUAUUGGGCAAGCUGAAGAAUUAUUGAAUAACAUAUUGAAAAAUUAUGAUGAUUGGACUCUUCCUGAACCACCGCCUAAGCCCACUCCAAAGAAGAGGGGUAUAUUAUAUCUCAGUCCUCAAGAUAUGCAAGAGGCAAAGAAAUCUAUGAAGGAAAAAGGUAUUAAAGUUGAGGAUGUUAAAAAUUUACCUCCUAUUGAAGAAAUACAUGGGCUUGAUACACCACCACCACCUAAGGUGGUAGAGGUAAAUUCUCUAAUGAAAUUCAAUGAUAAUGAUAAUCCUCACAAUAUGCACACUAGCCAA
rnacentral:rRNA from 1 species